UACAGAGGUCCCGAGCGUUGUUCGGAUUUAUUGGGCGUAAAGGGUGCGUAGGUGGCAAAGUAAGUUGGAUGUGAAAUCCUGGGGCUCAACCUCAGAAUUGCAUUCAAUACUGCUUAGCUAGAGAGCUGUAGAGGAGACUGGAAUUUACGGUGUAGCAGUGAAAUGCGUAGAUAUCUGGAGGAACACCGGUGGCGAAGGCGGCAUCCUGGACCAACACUGACACUGAGGAGCGAAAGCCAGGGGAGCAAACGGGAUUAG
rnacentral:rRNA from 1 species